GACGUAGGGCGCGAGCGUUGUCCGGAAUUAUUGGGCGUAAAGAGCUCGUAGGCGGUUUGUCGCGUCUGCUGUGAAAUCCCGAGGCUCAACCUCGGGCCUGCAGUGGGUACGGGCAGACUGGAGUGCGGUAGGGGAGAAUGGAAUUCCUGGUGUAGCGGUGGAAUGCGCAGAUAUCAGGAGGAACACCGAUGGCGAAGGCAGUUCUCUGGGCCGUAACUGACGCUGAGGAGCGAAAGCGCGGGGAGCGAACAGG
rnacentral:rRNA from 1 species